CAGACACAAGACUGAGCUCUGAGUCCAUGAUCCUAGCUUAUCCUUGAAGUAUGAGGCUGGUGAUUGGAGUAACUGUGUUUCUGACCUUGGGGACUAUAAUUGAUGCUAAGACUACCCAGCCCAACUCCAUGGAUUGUGCUGAAGGAGAAGAUGUAAACCUGCCUUGUAACCACUCUACCAUAGGUGGAGAUGACUAUAUACAUUGGUAUCGGCAAAAUCCCAGUCAGAGUCCACAGUAUAUCAUUCAUGGCUUACGAAGCACUGUGACCAACAGCAUGGCCUCACUGACCAUAGCUGCAGACAGAAAGUCCAGCACCUUGGUCCUGCCCCAGGUUACCCUGAGAGACACCGCUGUGUACUACUGCAUCCUGAGAGAGGCACAUUGGGACAGAUGGGGCUGCACCUGUGCAGUAUCUCUCUGGUGGCAAGGAUGGGGGUACAGGGCAGGAGCAGCUGUCACUGAAAGCUAA